rnacentral:rRNA from 1 species
UGCCAGCCGCCGCGGUAAUACGGAGGAUCCAAGCGUUAUCCGGAUUUAUUGGGUUUAAAGGGUGCGUAGGCGGGACAAUAAGUCAGUGGUGAAAUCUUCCAGCUUAACUGGGAAACUGCCAUUGAUACUGUUGUUCUUGAGUUUGGUUGAAGUAGGCGGAAUGAGGCAUGUAGCGGUGAAAUGCAUAGAUAUGCCUCAGAACACCGAUUGCGAAGGCAGCUUACUAAGCCAAUACUGACGCUGAUGAACGAAAGCUAGGGUAUCAAACGGGAUUAGAUA